GUUGAUAAGGUUAAGUGAAUAAGGGCGCACGGUGGAUGCCUUGGCACUAGGAGCCGAUGAAGGACGGGACUAACACCGAUAUGCUUUGGGGAGCUGUAAGUAAGCUAUGAUCCAGAGAUUUCCGAAUGGGGGAACCCAAUAUCUUUUAUAGGAUAUUACUUUUCAGUGAAUACAUAGCUGAUUAGAGGUAGACGCAGAGAACUGAAACAUCUUAGUACCUGCAGGAAGAGAAAGAAAAUUCGAUUCCCUGAGUAGCGGCGAGCGAAACGGGAAGAGCCCAAACCAACAAGCUUGCUUGUUGGGGUUGUAGGACUCCAAUAUGGUAGUCUGUUAGUAUAGUUGAAGGAUUUGGAAAAUUCCGCUAAAGAGGGUGAAAGCCCCGUAGACGAAAUGCUAACAACACCUAGGAGGAUCCUGAGUACGGCGGAACACGAGAAAUUCCGUCGGAAUCCGCGGGGACCAUCCCGCAAGGCUAAAUACUCCCUAGUGACCGAUAGUGAACCAGUACCGUGAGGGAAAGGUGAAAAGCACCCCGGAAGGGGAGUGAAAUAGAUCCUGAAACCGUGUGCCUACAACAAGUCAAAGCUCGUUAAUGAGUGAUGGCGUGCCUUUUGUAGAAUGAACCGGCGAGUUACGAUUGCAUGCGAGGUUAAGUCGAAGAGACGGAGCCGCAGCGAAAGCGAGUCUGAAUAGGGCGAAUGAGUAUGUAGUCGUAGACCCGAAACCAUGUGAUCUACCCAUGUCCAGGUUGAAGGUGCGGUAAAACGCACUGGAGGACCGAACCCACGUACGUUGAAAAGUGCGGGGAUGAGGUGUGGGUAGCGGAGAAAUUCCAAACGAACUUGGAGAUAGCUGGUUCUCUCCGAAAUAGCUUUAGGGCUAGCCUCGGAAUUGAGAAUGAUGGAGGUAGAGCACUGUUUGGACUAGGGGCCCAUCUCGGGUUACCGAAUUCAGAUAAACUCCGAAUGCCAUUCAUUUAUAUCCGGGAGUCAGACUGCGAGUGAUAAGAUCCGUAGUCGAAAGGGAAACAGCCCAGACCACC
rnacentral:rRNA from 1 species